UCCAUUGUUAUCAGAACUGGAGAAAAAAAUAGUUCAGAUGUUUGAAACUCUACUGACGCAAAAUAUUGUGUAAUUCAUAAACAAUCCUUUGUGAGUGUUUGAGUUCAUAGUAUGCCCAGAAUAUAGGACUCACUAGCUACCCUCAUGCACGAAACAAUUGCUCUUUGGUGUAUUUGUUUGUCUGUCAAGUGGUAAACAUUCCCCUGGAGGAUACUGAAGCUUGUGAAAAGGAUGAAUUGAUGGAUAUGUACAUGGAAAAUGUAGUCACAGGGCCCUUCUCUCACUGAUCACCAUCCCGCCCCCAACUCCAUACCCCACGCAUGCACCCUGCCAUCCUGCACUGUGACACUGGCCAUGCUGUCUCGGCAACACACAAAGCCUAUGCCCGGGAUAAGCUUCUCUUUCAAGCGCCUAUCUGGCUUUCAGCAUGUGCUUUGAAGAGAUAGUGACAUUGCUAUGCUCUGACAUACACCAUAAUGUCAGCACAGCAGAAGCAAGUGGAAGAUUCUACUUUCCCGAUAAAGAUCAGUUGCUGUUUCCUGUCUUGAAGACGAAAGCUGAGCAAAUGCAAAGGUCAUCUGUGUUUAUAUUAACAAUGCAGGAGUUAUACUAUGUUUUCGCAACAACAUCAGAUCAUUAUUUAUCCACUUGUCCUUUUUUUUUUUAUAAUUCCUUUGAACUGCCUACAUUUGCUUAUCAUGAUAUUUCUAAAUCUGUAAACAGCCCAAGUGUGGCUGUUCUAUUUCUCUAAAUAGAGUCUUAGGUCAUUUUAUUAUCCAACAUUAUAAGUCAUCAAAAUGCAUCCAUCUGUUGUCUUUCCACAUCUGGUGUAAUUUUAACUCUUUAAGCCUAAAGAAAAACUAGAAAAACCAUUGUGAUGUUAGUGUGUUACUUUUUCCUACCACGCUGUUUUCUGAUACAUCGUUUUCCCUGGAAAACCACAAGGAAAUAAUUAAAUCUAUCUAUUUCUUUGGAAAUGGCAUUAAAUGCAAAGUCUUCUCCCCCUUCACUUAGUGAUCUUUCUGGUUUUCUGGUGCCCUGAUUAUUUUCCCUGGGAUCACAGCCACUCGGAGCCUUUUCUCACCAACUCAAAAAAAUCUUUAGAGAUGUGAAGUCAUAGAGCCUCUGAGGCUGCCUUCCAGUGGUCCACGGGCAGAUCUCCGUAGCAAUGGAGCUGUAAGCAAGGCAAAAAGCCAAAGCCUGUUUAGCACGACCAACCUUGUCAAUUUGCCAAUCAUUCUUUCAGAUUUUAUUGCAUGCAUGAUUAGAUUUUCUUGCAUGUGCAUUUUGGGGGUAACAGCAUUUUGGUUGACCUGUUUUCAAUCCGUUUGACUACCUUCAGUUUGGUAGCUCCUUCAGCAAUAAAGAAAAAAGUUGAGCAAUUCAGCUUUAAAUCACAUGAUGAGGCAAAUCACAGUUUAUCAACUGGUUAUAGGACAGUUCUAACGUGUGAGAUAAGAUGAGCUCUCUUUCCGUUAUCUGUUGGGGAAAGAAGAUGCUCAACAUCCAGGAAAUUGACAAAUGUUUAAUUACUUAGGUUGGGUAGCUUAUAAAUACAAUGUGAACAGGGACAGUUUCCACCACACAAUUAUUUUCUUCCAAGUUGUUAUCUGUUUCAGCUGGGAUAGGCUAGAUUGUUCCGUGGCAACAAAAUUACCCCCAAAGUCUUGGCAGUUUACAACAACCCAGAUUCAUUUUUCAAUACACUAUCUGCUCAAUGAGUAUUAGCAAGUGGUUCUGCUCCAUGUCAAUACCUAUAUGCGACCCACAGUGAUGGAGGAGUCUCUUGUGAUAUUGGUGUCUGUUAUGGCAAAGGCAAAGACAAAAGUAGACCUUGGUCAUAGAACAAACUAUGGCUUAAGUUUCUGUCUGGAUAUAAUAUGAGUCACUUCCCUUCCCAUGUCCAUUUCAGUGGCAGAACAAGUCAAUCCAAAUCUGACUUCAGUGCCUUUGGGAAAAUACAGUUCCAACCCCGGGAAGGGAAGCAAGGUCUGGAUGAGUGGUAAUGAAAUCCGCCUCUCCAUCCAACUCAGGUGUCAUUGCUUUAUUUGAGUGAGUUUUUUUUUCUUCUUAAGAUCCCCCUUUAAAACGAGCCUGGAAACAGUGUUUAUAGAAAUCAGCUUCACUAGUUCUAAAGAAGGGGUCUCAUUGUUGGGAUGUGUUGUCUGACCUUAUUAGUUGAUUUCAACCAUAGGCUGAAAAUGGAUGACCCAUUUUAGGACUAUCACCACCCAUAGAACUAUAGGUUUUCCUGCUUAAGGGUUUCACACUGAUGCAACAAAGGAGUACACUCUUCACCAAAAGGACCAAAGCUUUCUCCUGCUCUGUCAGCUGCUGGUUUCCUCCAGUUAGUUACUAAAACUAGGUUCAAGGAGGUGAGAUAUCACUCCUCAGCAAGUCUGCAGCAUCUGUGCUUAUGACAGUACCCUGGUAAUUCCUGAUAAUCGUAUCACUCCCUGAUGGAAAACCAGCUUUUAUUUCAGCAACAGUAAGGGUUGUGCUGGACCCCUGACCUCACCUGAAGAUGUCUUUAUGUUGGAUCUGCCUCUAUAUGGGGCAGUUGGUUCAAGACUUAGAGAAAUUUCUACAGAUACUCUCAUUCCAGAGUGACGGGACCCAACCGGGGGAAUCGGCCAGAAGCAACAAUGGCUUCAGGCUUGGCGAAAUGGACUAAAACAAGAAGAAGUUGUUGCAAACAGUGUGGCCCUUUCUUCUCAGACAUCGGACAUACCACAUCUGUUACCUGC